AAAAGAGGGACUGAGAUGUAGCUCAGUUAGUAGAAUGCUUAAUAGCAUGCAUGAAGGCCUGGGUUUAAUCCCAAACAUUAUAUAAAUUUGUCAUGGCGGUACACCCUGUAAUCCAGGCACUUGGGAAUUAGAGGAAGGGGAACAGAAGUUUACAGUAACCCUCAAUCUAUAAAGCAAUAUUUGAGAUCAGACUGGGUAAAAUUAGAUCCUUCUCAAAAAAAUAAAAAAGUAAAGAGUUGAAAGAAGAGCAAUUUCAUGACUACAUCAUUGUGAAGAUUACACAAGAUGAUACGGGUAACACACUUAAAAAGUGUUUGGGCCUGCCAAGCAUGGUAGAACUGGAACCGGUCAUUAUUGUUAUUAGUUUAAAUAUUUUAAACAUCACCCUUUCCAUAAGGAGAAAGAGAGAGGAGGGAUGCAGAGCCAAACUGACUUAAGUACAAAUUCUGGCUCUCUUACAUCAGUCUCUACCUCCCAAACGAGGAAAUUACAGCUCCUAUAGUCUACGGUUACCUUAAAGAUUAGAUGAGAAAUUCCCACAUAAAUUAAAUACAGAGCUGAGCAUGGUGGUGCAUGCCUUUAAUCCUAGCACUUGUGGGGCAGGAGGAGGUAGAUCUCUGCUAGAUCUAGGCGAGUCUGGUCUAUAUAGCAAGUUCCAGAACAGCUGGGGCUACAUAGAGAAACCUUGUCUCCAAAUAAAUAAAUAAAUAAAUCAAUAGUAAAUGCAAUGGCAUACAAGAAAUAAUGAACACAUUAUCAUGUGCACUAAGUAAAUAGCUAUUCCCAAAGCUUUAAAUAUUAUUUCCCUUCUCAAAAUUGUAUGCUCAGCCUUACCUCUCCCGUUUCACAUCUGUCAGUUAGACACAUUCUCCCUAAUGACCCCGGGCUUCUCAGAAGUCUCCCACCACUCUCAGCCGAAAGAAAACCUUGCUUGCUCUCUCUAACAUGUAACAAUUCCCUCAUAUCUAUCACUGCCUCAACCCAGCUUCUCCAUUUACCUCAACGAGGCUACUAUCCAACCAUUUGUUCCACCAAGAAUCCUGGAACUCUCUGGAACUCUCUCUGAACUCUCUCAUUCCCUCAUACCCCUCUUCAAUUGUUACUUACUUCUCUAAGAAAUUUCAACAGCUUUUCCUCCAAAAUACCUCCCUAAAUUAACUAACUGAGGUUUGAACCACAACACUCCCUCCUAUCCAUGUACCAAAAUUCAUAUAAUCAUAACGCCCACAACUCAGUCUCCAGUCUAGAAGCCCCCCCCCCAAGCUGUAAGGCUGACUAGAAGACAAACAUUCUCAGCCAACGGAGACACACCAAUAUUAUCUAGUUCCUGCAAAAGAUCUGCGCCCUUCCCAUCUCCUCCCGAUGUCUGUGUUGAAAGACCCUGGCCUGCUCUCCCACCCUCCUCCUUAAAGCGAAUUUCUUACUGGGCAAUGGUAGCACACUUUAAUCCCAGCAGCUGGGAGGCAGAGGCAGGCGGAUCUCUAUGGAGUUCAAGGCCAGACAUCUAUGGCUACACAGAGAAACCCAGUCUGGGGGAGGGGGGGGAGACUAGGGAAUGAGAUGGUAAGAAGCCAGCAAGCAGUAUAGUCAGGUAGGACACAGAUAAAGGUGUCAGUGAAAGUCUGUCUAGAAAAAGGCCCGGGGACAUGGUUGAGGAUGGUGACACAUUGAGGGGAGGGGUUACAGCACAAAGCAAGAAUUGGGGAAAGGGGGGGGGGCUGAGAGCUGGGAGCGAACAGCAAGAUCUGAGUAAUAGAUUGGAAACAGCCUUCACUAAGUGAGUAUCAGCUGCAAGGAUACAAAGUAGCAGGUGAAGACGGUCCAGACCGGAGAGGGGCAAGGGAGAAGCAAAGAUGUUGGGGGGGGAGGAGUGGGAGAAAGGCAGUGGGUGAUGAUGACAACUGGGGAACGACCCGGAAGAGGUAUGGGAUGGAAAUAAAAGACAAUAACAAAGCCAGGGCUUGGCAGUGGGCAAUGAUAGGAGAGGAGGAGCAGGGAGGGAACACUUGAUAGGUGGAAAGGUCACCACCAGCGGGCCCCUGAUGAGGAAGGUGGCAAAAAAAAAAAAAAAAAAAAAAAACCAAAGACGAGACAGGGAACACUGACAACUCCCCAGGCCCUGUAUCCAAGGUCCGCCCCACCUUUGCAGCCACCGACAGAGGUGAGGGACCUUGAUAGGAGCAGAGGUGGACAACUGGGAGGGAGAGGAUCAGGUGGCCACUCAGAGGCUGGGACUAAUUCUGUGAGUGGGGAAAACGGACCACUGACAGGCAUGAGCUGGGAUAGUAGCUAAAAGGGAUGUUGACUGUCAAGAAGGGUGAGCGCUGAGGGAAGGAAUGAAUGAAUGAAUGAAUGGCGGCAGUGGAGAGUGGCUGACAGGGGAGCAGACUGAUGGAGGCGCUGACCCCCCUGACGAAGCGCAGGGUGACAAAGGCGCUGUUCUACGGACCGGGCGCUGACUGCACAAGCUGAGUGACAGCAGGACGCUGACGGACGGACGGACGGACGGAGGGAGGUGGGGGGUGUCCCUCCUGUCCCCGGGCCGCAGGAAGCAGCGGGCGCGCGGCCGCACUCACCUGCCCCGCAGGCUGGGGGUCGCGGCGACUCCUCCUCCUCCGAGGGAGGCCCGAGGGAGGCCAGGACGCUCGCAGAGGUGACGUGCGGACGGCCUGGAGCGGGCGGCUCGCACAUGGGCCCGGCCCCGCGGCGCGGCGCCUUCGGACUCGGGCGCAGCCGGCCGGCGGGGAGGCUCGGGACCCGCUCGGGACCGGCUCNNNNNNNNNNNNNNNNNNNNNNNNNNNNNNN
ensembl:lincRNA